CGAAAAAUAACGAUACGGGACUCAUCCGAGGCCCCGUAAUCGGAAUGAGUACACUCUAAACCCUUUAACGAGGAUCAAUUGGAGGGCAAGUCUGGUGCCAGCAGCCGCGGUAAUUCCAGCUCCAAUAGCGUAUAUUAAAGUUGUUGCGGUUAAAAAGCUCGUAGUCGAAUUUGUGUCCCGCGCCGCCGGUUCAUCGCUCGCGGUGUCAACUGGCGUGUCCGCGGGACGUCCUGCCGGUGGGCUUAGCCCCUACGGGGGCGGCCCAAUCUCAAUCCCACCGCGGUGCUCUUCACUGAGUGUCGAGGUGGGCCGGCACGUUUACUUUGAACAAAUUAGAGUGCUUAAAGCAGGCUAAAACAUCGCCUGAAUACUGUGUGCAUGGAAUAAUGGAAUAGGACCUCGGUUCUAUUUUGUUGGUUUUCGGAACCCCGAGGUAAUGAUUAAUAGGAACGGAUGGGGGCAUUCGUAUUGCGACGUUAGAGGUGAAAUUCUUGGAUCGUCGCAAGACGGACAGAAGCGAAAGCAUUUGCCAAAAACGCUUUCAUUGAUCAAGAACGAAAGUUAGAGGUUCGAAGGCGAUCAGAUACCGCCCUAGUUCUAACCAUAAACGAUGCCAGCUAGCGAUCCGCCGACGUUCCUCCGAUGACUCGGCGGGCAGCUUCCGGGAAACCAAAGCUUUUGGGUUCCGGGGGAAGUAUGGUUGCAAAGCUGAAACUUAAAGGAAUUGACGGAAGGGCACCACCAGGAGUGGAGCCUGCGGCUUAAUUUGACUCAACACGGGAAACCUCACCAGGCCCGGACACCGGAAGGAUUGACAGAUUGAGAG
rnacentral:rRNA from 7 species